AAUCCUGAGUAAUCGCGGCUGGUUCGUAUCAGCUGAGGAAAGUCCACUCUCGCACAGGCUGCGAUGUCUGUAGUGUUCGUGCUCGGCGAAAAAAUAAGCCGAGGCAUUACCAUUUGGUAAUGAUGGCGGAGAAACGAGCUAAUGCUUAGGCGAUGCUUUAAUACUCUGUAAAGUGCCACAGUGACGAAACAAUUAAAGAAAUUUAAUUGGUGGAACGCGGUAAACCCCUCGAGCGGGAAACCCAAACUACGGUAGGGGAGCUUCAUGUACGGAAAUUGAACCAAGCAUGGGGGAGAAAUUUUAUUUCUCAGAUAGAUGAUUACUACUCAAUUAAUUUGUCCUGAAAUUUUAAUUGAGCACAAAACAUGGCUUACAGGG
rnacentral:RNase_P_RNA from 1 species